rnacentral:rRNA from 1 species
GACGUAGGAUGCAAGCGUUGUCCGGAUUUAUUGGGCGUAAAGAGUUCGUAGGCGGUUCGUUAAGUCUGAUGUUAAAGACUGGGGCUCAACCUCGGAAAUGCAUUGGAUACUGGCGGACUGGAGUACAGUAGAGGCAAGCGGAAUUCCCAGUGUAGCGGUGAAAUGCGUAGAUAUUGGGAAGAACACCGGUGGCGCAAGCGGCUUGCAUGGGCUGUAACUGACGCUGAGGAACGAAAGCUAGGGUAGCGAAUGGG